ACAGUUCAUCAGUAGGAUUCCAGACAGGCAUCAGGCUCAGGGACAGCGCAGAGACAGCUGCCUUCUCCUCUUUCCCGGAGGCACCUGAGACCUGAGCGCACCGAGGGGGCCGGUGCAUGGGCUGCUCCCAGUGAGCGUGAAGUUCACGCCCAGAAGUACACCCGCCACCAGCUGCAGCAGCACAGGGCAGAAGAAGAAAAGCCAUGUGAGGACACAGUAAGAAGGCGGACGUCUGUAGGCCAGGAAGAGAGUCCUCACCAGGACCCAACCAUGCUGGCACCCUGGUCCUGGACUUCUGGCCUCCAGAACUGUGAGAAAUAAAUUUCAGUUGUUGAAGCCAUCUGUGGUAUUUUGUUAUGGCAGCUGGAGCAGACUCAGACAAUCUUUAAAUACACAUACUUUCAGCAGUAGCUGGCAUGUCUGACCUGGCAAGAUGAACUGAUUGCACACUUAGGUAAACUGACUACUCAUCCCAGCAAAGCCCCUAACCCUGUAACCA
rnacentral:lncRNA from 1 species